GAUAAACGCUGGCGGCGUGCAUAACACAUUCAAGUCGAACGGACAAGGGGCUUCGGCCCUGCGUUAGUGGCGGACGGGUGAGUAACGCGUGAGUAACCUGCCUCAGAGUGGUGACUAACUUCUGGAAACGGACGCUAAUACCGCAUAACCAACCAACCUCGCCUGGAGACUGUGUCAAAGAUUUAUUGCUCUGAGAUGGACUCGAGUCCGAUUAGGUAGUUGCUGAGGUAACGGCCCACAAAUCCGACGAUAGGUAGCCGGACUGAGAGGUUGAACGGCCACAUUGGAACUGAGAUACGGUCCAGACUCCUACGGGAGGCAGCAGUGGGGAAUAUUGGGCAAUGGGCGAAAGCCUGACCCAGCGACGCCGUGUGAAGGAAGAAGGUUUUCGGAUUGUAAACUUCUGUCGACAGGGACGAAACAAAUGACGGUACCUGUUGAGAAAGCCACGGCUAACUACGUGCCAGCAGCCGCCGUAAGAC
rnacentral:rRNA from 1 species